rnacentral:rRNA from 1 species
UUCCGGUUGAUCCUGCCGGACCUGACUGCUAUCGGAUUAAUACUAAGCCAUGCGAGUUUUUGUAGUAAUACAAGGCAUACGGCUCAAUAACACGUAGUCAACCUACCUUAUGGACGAGGAUAAUCUCGGGAAACUGAGCAUAAUACUCGAUAGAUCAUAAUGCCUGGAAUGGUUUAUGGUUGAAAUGAUUCGUCGCCAUAAGAUGGGACUGCGGCCUAUCAGCUUGUUGGUGAGGUAAUGGCCCACCAAGGCGAUUACAGGUACGGGCUCUGAGAGGAGAAGCCCGGAGAUGGGUACUGAGACAAGGACCCAGGCCCUAUGGGGCGCAGCAGGCGAGAAAACUUUGCAAUGUGCGAAAGCACGACAAGGUUAGUCCGAGUGAUUUCUGCUAAAGAGAUCUUUUGCAAGUUCUAAAACCACUAGUGAAUAAGGGGUGGGCAAGUUCUGGUGUCAGCCGCCGCGGUAAAACCAGCACCUCGAGUGGUCAGGAGGAUUAUUGGGCCUAAAGCAUCCGUAGCCGGCUCUGUAAGUUUCGGUUAAUCCAUGUGCUCACACAUGGGCUGUCGGAAAUACUGCAUAGCUAGGGAAUGGGAGAGUAGACGGUACUCAGUAGG